CGGGGGAGCAAGCGUUGUUCGGAUUUACUGGGCGUAAAGGGCGCGUAGGCGGCCACCGCAAGUCGACUGUGAAAUCUCCGGGCUUAACUCGGAAAGGUCAGCCGAUACUGCGGGGCUAGAGUGCAGAAGGGGCAACUGGAAUUCUCGGUGUAGCGGUGAAAUGCGUAGAUAUCGAGAGGAACACCUGCGGCGAAGGCGGGUUGCUGGGCUGACACUGACGCUGAGGCGCGAAAGCUAGGGGAGCGAACGGGAUUAGAUACCCCGGUAGUCCUAGCCUUAAACGAUGAAUGCUUGGUGUCUGGGGUUUUAUAGUCCCCGGGUGCCGUCGCUAACGCUUUAAGCAUUCCGCCUGGGGAGUACGGUCGCAAGACUG
rnacentral:rRNA from 1 species